rnacentral:rRNA from 1 species
AGAGGAGCGGCAGACGGGUGAGUGACGAGUGACAACCCACCGUGAGGUUCGCAACAACACAGGGCGACUGGUGAUAAUACCGGAUAAGCCGUUCCGGGGGAAGAUUCAUCCCCGAAAGAUCGUCCCGUGUGAGAAUAGAUUGGUGGAGACGAUACGGCUCACCAAGGAGAAGAUCAAUAGGUGGUGAGAGAGGAUUAUCACCCACAGGGGGAGUGAGACGCGGCCCAAACUCAUACGGGAGACAACAGUGGGGUAUACUGGACUAUGGGCGCACGCGUGAUCCAGCCAUGCCGUGUGAGUGAUAAACGCCCUAGUGUUGUAAAGCUCUUUUAGGGGGGAAGAUAAUGACGGUAUCUGUAGAAUAAGCCCCGGCUAACUUUGUGCCAGCAGCCGCGGUAAU